AUGGGCUUUAAAUUCAUAUACAAGUUUACACAAAAUGUUUUGCACUCAUUUAUGGUAUUUUUUUGCAGGGGAUGGGAACAUUGCAACAUAUGUAUCCUUCUGGAGAGGAAAAGCAUUACCUAUCAGUCUGAAGAGGAGCACUGUUUAAGGAGCCAAAAGGUGUGCUUUUAGAGAUAUCUCUUCCCAGGCAAUGAUUCACACUACCACUUCCUCCACAUUACUCAGAGAGAGAGAGCAAAAAGAGUUUGGGCAGCUGUUGCAUCUGUGACUUUUGCUGAAGUAAGGUGAGUAUUUUCCUUUUUUUUUUUUUUUUUUUGGACAAAAGAGUUAAUAUUUAUUGAUCAACUGUUAUUUGCCAGGUAUGUUCUAAAAGCCAUCAGGUAUAAUAUAUAACUUACUUCUCUCAAUAUUAAUAAUUAGGGAUAAUUACUGAAUCAUCUACAUUCUUUUUUAAAAUAUUAUUUUCCAUCAUGGUCUGUUGCAGGAGAUUGGAUAUAGUUCUCUGUGCUACAUACUAGGAAUCUAUUGUCUACUCAUUCUAAAUGUAAUAGUUUGUACCUGUUAACCCCAAGCUCCCAGUCCAUCCCACUUCCUCCCACCUCUCCCUUUGGCAACCGUAAGUCUCUUCUCCUUGUCUCUGCGUCUUUUUCUGUUUUAUAGAUAGAUCAUUUGUGCCAUAUUUUAGAUUCCACAUAUAAAUGAUACCACAUGGUAUUUGUCUUUAUCUUUCUGGCUUAACUUCAGUUAGUAUGAGAAUCUCUAGUUGUACCUAUAUUGCUGCAAAUGGCAUUACUGUUUAGGUCUUCUGCCCAUUUUUUGAUUGGGUUUUUGCUUUUUUUGUUGUUGAAUUGUAUGAGUUGUUUGUAAAUUUUGGAGAUUAAGCCCUUGUUGGUUGCAUCAUAUGCAGCUGUUUCUUCCAUUCCUUAGGUUGUCUCUUUGGUUUUUUUAUUUUUUAUGAAUUCCUUUGCUGUGCAAAAUAUGUAAGAUUGAUUAGGUCCCAUUGAUUGAUUUUUGUUUUUAUUUCUGUUACCUUGGGAGACUGACCUAAGAAAACAUUUGUAUCAGUUUAUAUCAGAGAAUGCUUUGCCUAUGUUCUCUCCUAGGAGUUGUAUGGUGUCAUGUCUUAUGUUUAUAAAGCAAUUUUGAAUUUAUUUUUGUGCAUGGUGUGAGA
rnacentral:lncRNA from 1 species